rnacentral:rRNA from 1 species
UGAGGAAUAUUGGUCAAUGGACGAGAGUCUGAACCAGCCAAGUAGCGUGAAGGAUGACUGCCCUAUGGGUUGUAAACUUCUUUUAUAUGGGAAUAAAGUAUUCCACGUGUGGGAUUUUGUAUGUACCAUAUGAAUAAGGAUCGGCUAACUCCGUGCCAACAGCCGCGGUAAUACGGAGGAUCCGAGCGUUAUCCGGAUUUAUUGGGUUUAAAGGGAGCGUAGGUGGAUUGUUAAGUCAGUUGUGAAAGUUUGCGGCUCAACCGUAAAAUUGCAGUUGAAACUGGCAGUCUUGAGUACAGUAGAGGUGGGCGGAAUUCGUGGUGUAGCGGUGAAAUGCUUAGAUAUCACGAAGAACUCCGAUUGCGAAGGCAGCUCACUAGACUGCAACUGACACUGAUGCUCGAAAGUGUGGGUAUCAAACAGGAUUAGAUACCCUGGUAGUCCACACAGUAAACGAUGAAUACUCGCUGUUUGCGAUAUACAGUAAGCGGCCAAGCGAAAGCAUUAAGUAUUCCACCUGGGGAGUACGCCGGCAACGGUGAAACUCAAAGGAAUUGACGGGGGCCCGCACAAGCGGAGGAACAUGUGGUUUAAUUCGAUGAUACGCGAGGAACCUUACCCGGGCUUAAAUUGCAUUUGAAUAAUCUGGAAACAGGUUAGCCGCAAGGCAAAUGUGAAGGUGCUGCAUGGUUGUCGUCAGCUCGUGCCGUGAGGUGUCGGCUUAAGUGCCAUAACGAGCGCAACCCUUAUCUUUAGUUACUAACAGGUCAUGCUGAGGACUCUAGAGAGACUGCCGUCGUAAGAUGUGAGGAAGGUGGGGAUGACGUCAAAUCAGCACGGCCCUUACGUCCGGGGCUACACACGUGUUACAAUGGGGGGUACAGAAGGCAGCUACCUGGUGACAGGAUGCUAAUCCCAAAAACCUCUCUCAGUUCGGAUCGAAGUCUGCAACCCGACUUCGUGAAGCUGGAUUCGCUAGUAAUCGCGCAUCAGCCAUGGCGCGGUGAAUACGUUCCC